GACAGGCGAAAAAAUAUUCUCUUAUCCGAAAACGGGACUCCAGCCGCGACAUCGACGACCGUGGUAAAGGUCUACGGCUUUCUCGGCUUUUUUCCGAUUCGCCCCAAGUAUUCUUGGCGUAUUCCCCACGCAGCCAUUUCCCUCCGGGUCGACGACCGGUCGAAACGUGUCGACUUGGAAAUUAUUAGGGAUCUCGUGGCCCGGCAUCUGAGGCUUCCAGGUUCCGUAGGGCAGCUACCAGGCUUUAACUCUAGGCCCACAGCAUGGCAAAUUCUCCCCAAUCCUCAUAUGCCACGUGUCCCUACGGAGGACCUAGCAUGAAAAGGCUAGGGACCUUUCCUCGGAACCAAAGCAUAUUGUCCA
rnacentral:lncRNA from 1 species